AGAGUGUGAUCCUGGCUCAGGAUAAACGCUGGCGGCGUGCCUAACACAUGCAAGUCGAACGAUUCUGAUUUAUCAGUUUAGUGGCAAACGGGUGAGUAACACGUAAGUAACCUGCCCUUAAGCAGGGGAUAAUCUGCCGAAAGGUGGACUAAUACCGUAUGUGAUAGCAGAGGUAAAGCACUGUUAUUAAAGCCUUCGGGCACUUAAGGAGGGGCUUGCGUCCGAUUAGCUAGUUGGUGGGGUAACGGUUCACCAAGGCGAUGAUCGGUAGCUGGUCUGAGAGGACGGACAGCCACACUGGGACUGAGACACGGCCCAGACUCCUACGGGAGGCAGCAGCGAGGAAUUUUAGACAAUGGGCGAAAGCCUGAUCUAGCGACGCCGCGUGGAGGAUGAAGGUUUUCGGAUCGUAAACUCCUUUUAUCAGGGAUGAAUAAUGACAGUACCUGAUGAAUAAGCCACGGCUAACUACGUGCCAGCAGCCGCGGUGAUACGUAGGUGGCAAGCGUUAUCCGGAUUUACUGGGCGUAAAGCGAGUGCAGACGGUUUUUCAAGUCGGAUGUAAAAUCUCCCAGCUUAACUGGGAGAGCCCGUUCGAUACUGGGAGACUUGAGGACAACAGGGGGAGGUAGAAUUCCCGGUGUAGUGGUGGAAUGCGUAGAUAUCGGGAGGAAUACCAGUGGCGAAGGCGGCCUCCUAGGUUGUUUCUGACGUUCAGACUCGAAGGUGUGGGGAGCAAACAGGAUUAGAUACCCUGGUAGUCCACACUGUAAACGAUGGAUACUAGGUGUCGGGGACUUGAUCUUCGGUGCCGUAGUUAACGCGUUAAGUAUCCCGCCUGGGGAGUACGGUCGCAAGGCUGAAACUCAAAGAAAUUGACGGGGGCCCGCACAAGCGGUGGAGUAUGUGGUUUAAUUCGAUGCAACGUCAGCUCGUGCCGUGAGGUGUUGGGUUAAGUCCCGCAACGAGCGCAACCCCUAUUCUUAGUUGCCA
rnacentral:rRNA from 1 species